GUUGUAUAGUCAAGUAAUUAAGUGCAUGUGGUGGAUGCCUUGGCAGUCAGAGGCGAUGAAAGACGUGAUAGCCUGCGAAAAGCUCCGGGGAGGCGGCAAAUAUCCUUUGAUCCGGAGAUGUCUGAAUGGGGGAACCCACCUACUUUAAGGUAGGUAUUGCAACAUGAAUACAUAGUGUUGCAAGGCGAACGAGGGGAAGUGAAACAUCUCAGUACCCUUAGGAAAAGAAAUCAAUUGAGAUUCCCUCAGUAGCGGCGAGCGAACGGGGAUCAGCCCAUUAAGUUAUGUGUGUUUUAGUGGAACGCUCUGGGAAGUGCGAACGUAGAGGGUGAUAUUCCCGUACACGAAAGGGCACACAUAAUGAUGACGAGUAGGGCGAGGCACGUGAAACCUUGUCUGAAUAUGGGGGGACCAUCCUCCAAGGCUAAAUACUCCUGACUGACCGAUAGUGAACCAGUACCGUGAGGGAAAGGCGAAAAGAACCCCUGUGAGGGGAGUGAAAUAGAUCCUGAAACCGCAUGCAUACAAGCAGUGGGAGCACCUUCGUGGUGUGACUGCGUACCUUUUGUAUAAUGGGUCAGCGACUUAUAUUCAGUAGCAAGGUUAACCGUAUAGGGGAGCCGUAGAGAAAUCGAGUCUUAAUAGGGCGUUUAGUUGCUGGGUAUAGACCCGAAACCAGGCGAUCUAUCCAUGAGCAGGUUGAAGGUUGGGUAACACUAACUGGAGGACCGAACCCACUGUCGUUGAAAAGCCAGGGGAUGACUUGUGGAUAGGGGUGAAAGGCUAAUCAAGCCUGGUGAUAGCUGGUUCUCCCCGAAAGCUAUUUAGGUAGCGCCUCGGACGAAUACCAUAGGGGGUAGAGCACUGUUUCGGCUAGGGGGUCAUCCCGACUUACCAAACCGAUGCAAACUCCGAAUACCUAUGAGUACUAUCCGGGAGACAGACUGCGGGUGCUAACGUCCGUAGUCAAGAGGAAAACAAUCCAGACCGCCAGCUAAGGCCCCAAAAUCAUAGUUAAGUGGGAAACGAUGUGGGAAGGCAUAGACAGCUAGGAGGUUGGCUUAGAAGCAGCCACCCUUUAAAGAAAGCGUAAUAGCUCACUAGUCGAGUCGGCCUGCGCGGAAGAUGUAACGGGGCUAAAACUAUGUGCCGAAGCUGCGGAUNGAUGUAUACUUUGUAUACGUGGUAGGGGAGCGUUCUGUAAGCCGAUGAAGGUGUGUUGAGAAGCAUGCUGGAGGUAUCAGAAGUGCGAAUGCUGACGUGAGUAACGACAAAACGGGUGAAAAACCCGUUCGCCGAAAGACCAAGGGUUCCAGUCCAACGUUAAUCGGGGCUGGGUGAGUCGACCCCUAAGGCGAGGCCGAAAGGCGUAGUCGAUGGGAAAAUGGUUAAUAUUCCAUUACUUCUGUGUAAUGCGAUGAGAGGACGGAGAAGGCUAAAUCAGCCUGGCGUUGGUUGUCCAGGUGAAAGGAUGUAGGCAUGUAUCUUAGGCAAAUCCGGGGUACUCUAUGCUGAGAUCUGAUAGCAAGCUGUACUUGUACAGCGAAGUGGUUGAUGCCAUGCUUCCAGGAAAAGUCUCUAAGCUUCAGUUACACAGGAAUCGUACCCGAAACCGACACAGGUGGUCAGGUCGAGUAGACCAAGGCGCUUGAGAGAACUCUGCUGAAGGAACUAGGCAAAAUGGUACCGUAACUUCGGGAGAAGGUACGCUGUUGUUGGUGAUGGAACUCGCUUCCUGAGCUGACGACAGCCGCAGAAACCAGGCCGCUGCAACUGUUUAUUAAAAACAUAGCACUCUGCAAACACGAAAGUGGACGUAUAGGGUGUGAUGCCUGCCCGGUGCUGGAAGGUUAAUUGAUGGGGUUAGCGUAAGCGAAGCUCUUGAUCGAAGCCCCAGUAAACGGCGGCCGUAACUAUAACGGUCCUAAGGUAGCGAAAUUCCUUGUCGGGUAAGUUCCGACCUGCACGAAUGGCAUAAUGAUGGCGGCGCUGUCUCCAGCAGAGGCUCAGUGAAAUCGAAAUCGCUGUGAAGAUGCAGUGUACCCGCGGCUAGACGGAAAGACCCCGUGAACCUUUACUGCAGCUUGACACUGAACUUUGACCUUACUUGUGUAGGAUAGGUGGGAGGCUUUGAAGCUGGAACGCUAGUUCCAGUGGAGCCGUCCUUGAAAUACCACCCUGGUAAUGUUGAGGUUCUAACUCUGUCCCGUGAUCCGGGACGAGGACCGUGUCUGGUGGGUAGUUUGACUGGGGCGGUCUCCUCCUAAAGAGUAACGGAGGAGUACGAAGGUGCGCUCAGCGUGGUCGGAAAUCACGCGUAGAGUAUAAAGGCAAAAGCGCGCUUAACUGCGAGACCCACAAGUCGAGCAGGUACGAAAGUAGGUCUUAGUGAUCCGGUGGUUCUGUAUGGAAGGGCCAUCGCUCAACGGAUAAAAGGUACUCUGGGGAUAACAGGCUGAUACCGCCCAAGAGUUCAUAUCGACGGCGGUGUUUGGCACCUCGAUGUCGGCUCAUCUCAUCCUGGGGCUGAAGCAGGUCCCAAGGGUAUGGCUGUUCGCCAUUUAAAGAGGUACGCGAGCUGGGUUUAGAACGUCGUGAGACAGUUCGGUCCCUAUCUACCGUGGGCGCUGGAAAUUUGAGAGGAUCUGCUCCUAGUACGAGAGGACCAGAGUGGACGAACCUCUGGUGUACCGGUUGUGACGCCAGUCGCAUCGCCGGGUAGCUAUGUUCGGAAGGGAUAACCGCUGAAAGCAUCUAAGCGGGAAGCCUACCUCAAGAUAAGAUUUCCCUAGGACUUUAUGUCCUCUAAAGAGCCGUUCGAGACUAGGACGUUGAUAGGUUGGAUGUGGAAGCAUAGUGAUAUGUGAAGCUGACCAAUACUAAUUGCUCGUGAGGCUUGACUAUACAACACCCAAGCAGUUG
rnacentral:rRNA from 1 species